rnacentral:rRNA from 1 species
UACUGAGGUCUCAAGCGUUGUUCGGAUUCAUUGGGCGUAAAGGGUGCGUAGGCGGCGCGGUAAGUCGGGUGUGAAAUCUCGGAGCUUAACUCCGAAACUGCAUUCGAUACUGCCGUGCUUGAGGACUGGAGAGGAGAGUGGAAUUUACGGUGUAGCGGUGAAAUGCGUAGAUAUGGGGAGGAAGACCAGUGGCGAAGGCGGGUCUCUGGACAGUUCCUGACGCUGAGGCGCGAAAGCGAGGGGAGCAAACGGG